rnacentral:rRNA from 1 species
CGAACGCUGGCGGCGUGCCUAAUACAUGCAAGUCGAGCGGACAGAAGGGAGCUUGCUCCCGGAUGUUAGCGGCGGACGGGUGAGUAACACGUGGGUAACCUGCCUGUAAGACUGGGAUAACUCCGGGAAACCGGAGCUAAUACCGGAUAGUUCCUUGAACCGCAUGGUUCAAGGAUGAAAGACGGUUUCGGCUGUCACUUACAGAUGGACCCGCGGCGCAUUAGCUAGUUGGUGAGGUAACGGCUCACCAAGGCGACGAUGCGUAGCCGACCUGAGAGGGUGAUCGGCCACACUGGGACUGAGACACGGCCCAGACUCCUACGGGAGGCAGCAGUAGGGAAUCUUCCGCAAUGGACGAAAGUCUGACGGAGCAACGCCGCGUGAGUGAUGAAGGUUUUCGGAUCGUAAAGCUCUGUUGUUAGGGAAGAACAAGUGCAAGAGUAACUGCUUGCACCUUGACGGUACCUAACCAGAAAGCCACGGCUAACUACGUGCCAGCAGCCGCGGUAAUACGUAGGUGGCAAGCGUUGUCCGGAAUUAUUGGGCGUAAAGGGCUCGCAGGCGGUUUCUUAAGUCUGAUGUGAAAGCCCCCGGCUCAACCGGGGAGGGUCAUUGGAAACUGGGAAACUUGAGUGCAGAAGAGGAGAGUGGAAUUCCACGUGUAGCGGUGAAAUGCGUAGAGAUGUGGAGGAACACCAGUGGCGAAGGCGACUCUCUGGUCUGUAACUGACGCUGAGGAGCGAAAGCGUGGGGAGCGAACAGGAUUAGAUACCCUGGUAGUCCACGCCGUAAACGAUGAGUGCUAAGUGUUAGGGGGUUUCCGCCCCUUAGUGCUGCAGCUAACGCAUUAAGCACUCCGCCUGGGGAGUACGGUCGCAAGACUGAAACUCAAAGGAAUUGACGGGGGCCCGCACAAGCGGUGGAGCAUGUGGUUUAAUUCGAAGCAACGCGAAGAACCUUACCAGGUCUUGACAUCCUCUGACAACCCUAGAGAUAGGGCUUUCCCUUCGGGGACAGAGUGACAGGUGGUGCAUGGUUGUCGUCAGCUCGUGUCGUGAGAUGUUGGGUUAAGUCCCGCAACGAGCGCAACCCUUGAUCUUAGUUGCCAGCAUUCAGUUGGGCACUCUAAGGUGACUGCCGGUGACAAACCGGAGGAAGGUGGGGAUGACGUCAAAUCAUCAUGCCCCUUAUGACCUGGGCUACACACGUGCUACAAUGGACAGAACAAAGGGCUGCGAGACCGCAAGGUUUAGCCAAUCCCACAAAUCUGUUCUCAGUUCGGAUCGCAGUCUGCAACUCGACUGCGUGAAGCUGGAAUCGCUAGUAAUCGCGGAUCACAUGCGCGGGGGGAAAAACCUUUCCCGGGCCUUGUACACACCGCCCGUCACACCACGAGAGUUUGCAACACCCGAAGUCGGUGAGGUAACCUUUAUGGAGCC